GCUGCCGGCCGCCGCUCCCCGCUCCCCGCUCCCCGCUCCCGCCGCAUCCAGAGCGCGGGGCGGGGGCGCGGCGGGAGCUGAGGUGGGGGGGGGGGGACGGGGACGCGGCGGCCUCCGCCCCCUCCGGAUUGCCCCCGCCGGGGGGGUGCCGCGCUAAUUGGGGGCAGCCUCGCCUGCAAGAGGCCAGCGCGGCCCCGCGGCGUCGCCUCACAGCCCCCUGCCCCCCCCUACUCCCCCCCCCCCCCCCCAUAUAGGAUGGGGGCGUCCAACGGUCGGGUAACGGUCGAGUAACGGCCGGCGCCUCAGGGCGCGGCAGCCCCCCACACACACACACACCCACCCCGGAGGCCGCCCCUCUCCGCGCUCGCUUCAGGGACGGGAUCUCUCCUCUCGGAAGCGGCGCCCUGAGGAGGCGAGGAGGAUGCUGCCGCUCGCCGGAGCCGGAGCCGGGCGGAGGGGACCCGACGUUCGAAGCCGCCCCUCCUAAAGACACGCAGGGAGCGAAGGGGCCGCCGGAUCCCACGGGCCGGGUGUCUCUGAAGGUGCGGGGAGCCUGUGUCUGCGAGCCACCCGCAAGGAGCAACAGAUAGCUGACAGAUAGCUGUGAGGUCCCACAGGCAGCCUGGCUGCGGCCGCGGCGGCUUCCGUGGUCUGCAGGCUGGAGGGAACACACCCAGGGAGGCCU